rnacentral:lncRNA from 1 species
AGAGAGUUGAAAUAACCCGAAAGGCACUGAAGCUGAGAAACUGCCCUCUUUAUCCGCACGGCCACAAUUAGUUUUGGAAGCCUGUCCGUGGAGAGACUCAGGGUGUUAAUUUAGAAAGCAACUGUGUUGGAUGCCACUGGUGUGUUGGCCCGUUGGGUACCAUAUCUCUUCCACACCUUGUCCCAGUCCAAGGUGAAGAAAGCUGCAGCUCGCUUGAAGCCAGACUGACAAACGGACCUCCAGAUCUGCACCCUGAAUCCAUGAGGAAGUGGUGGGUGACGUUCUAAAAGGAUUUCUUUUUGGUAAAUAACCUGGGGUGUUGUUGUUGUUGUUGUUGUGUUCUUGUUUUUUUGUUUUGUUUUGUUUUAAGGCCAGAUGGAAGAAAGCAAAUGUUGCCUUUACUUUAGUGUUUUGGAAACCUGGAUCUCAUCAACUUUCUGGUUGGUUUUGGCUGUCAAGGCGCCUUAUGCCAGAGUCACUGCAAGCCAGGUUUCUGAGGUCCCUAUUGACCUGUGUUGGCAGCCUCUUAAAAAUAACUGUCAUUGCAAGUUCAGCUAAAAUAUAUAACGCAACAAAUAAAUACAUAUAAAGUAUAUGAAUAGAAGUAGGAAAGUUGUGGAUUAACAGACCCCAAAGUAUCAGACGUGCCAUGAAAAAUACUAUAAAACACUCUGAGGAAGGUGCUUGCUCAUGUUAUGACUUGUCCAGUAAACGUGGAGGAGCUGACCCACUUCUCAUGGUCCCUCAUUUCCCAUUUCUCCGCCGGAAGGUUCCGAGUAGCCGAUCCCUUUUGCACACACACUUGUCACUGGCUUUUCUCAAGCAGGGCUCGUGGCCGCCGUUCAGCAUCUCGAUAAAAGAAAUUAAGGGCCGCUUUAUCAUGCUCCUUUCUUUUCCUUCUGUGAGUUGUUCUUUAUUGCUUUGGAUGAGAAAUCCUCGAAUAUAGAAUUACAGAACUUUUGCUGGUUUUGAAAAUGAAAAGUGAGAACUAGGAGCAGAAAGGAGAAGGGAAAUGCUUUGGGGGGGAGUCUGAUACAGAUGUGAGCAGGUGUCGGGGGGCUCUCAAGGGGAACUUAGCUCUGCACAGAAUGAGGUCAAGACUCAGUAGUUCUGUGCCUUUGAUGGCUGUGUUGCACCCCAGGUUCCUGGGGACAGUACGGAGAAGAGGGGACAGAUGAUAUGGAGCACUGUUUUCUGGGAGUUGUUGGUUGCACAGGGAGUUCUCAUUUUCAGAUCUUGGCUGUGUUCAGAGGGGAUAAACAUGGUUGCUUUCAUCAUUGAUCUUUUUUUCCCUCCCCGAUUUUCCUUAUCUGCCACGCAUAUAUUUCUUCUGGCAUUGAAGCACACGGUCCUUGAAAUUGCUGACACAUAAUCUCCAUUUCACAUUUCCCUGGCACCGUGGUCUCACUGUAAAUGCUCCGGGUAUGUUCUCGGGAAGUUGCAUAAUUGCAGCAACUCUAGUUCACUGUGCAGUAUGCUUGGUGACUAAUGGCCUAAUCAGGACUUGAAAAAUACAUAAACAGUUCAACAGCAGCCAUUGAUUCACUGAGCUCUUUUCAGCCAGACGAGGGUGAGCUCAUGGGAGCUGGAAGACGGAGGUGUGCGGCGGCGGUGGCGGCGGCGGCAGCAGCGUCUGGGGUGUACUGAAGCCAGAGCGUUCCCGCACAUCCCGCGCAGCCUUGCUCAGCAGCGGCACAUCCUUGUUCAUAUGCAUGAGUCUGGGGUGCCCCAGGCUUGUCCUGAUUGGCUCUUACGCGGGGUUCCUUAAAGUGCGUUUACACGUGUGACACCUUUUUGCCUUUCCUCUAAAUGCUGUUGGCAGUGGCAGCGCUGGAGAGGCAGCUGGUCUCUCGUGUCCCCUGUGGUGUCCCCCUUGAUUCGUAAGGGAGAAUGCCAGCGGAGGCCGUGUAAGCCGGACUGCAGGGCUUACCCCAGUGCACUGUUGAUUGACAGGUUCUGUGGUCCUCGGCGGCACCUUUAUUUCCAAGAUGUACAGCUGAGAUGCACAGAGAUGCAGACUUUCAAAGGGACCGCGUUUCCUCUCAGAGGACCCCCAGGUGUCUGCUUGGAGCCCAGUCCAGUCAAGGAGGAGUUAUAACAGUCAUCGGUGUCGCGCCCCCGCUUCCUUUGGAAUUCGUUAGAUAGCUCCCCAGUUCUACUCCUCGCCCCACCCCCAACCUUUUCCGGAGCAGAAUUUUCUCUUCGCUCCACCUCUAAAUUAAUCUUUCAGGUUGUGGAUGACGUGAUCUCUAGAUGCUCGCCUCUCCUGAUGUCAUAUCUCAAACCAUUCCUCAGGGAGUAAUGAAUGAUGGACAUUUGUGUUUUCUAAAAUAAUCGACUCUUUCCUUAGGCACAUGCUGGUUCAUUCAUAAAAAACAAAAAGAGUCCUUUCACACAUUCCGUGUCCCACAUUCAUGUAAUACUUGCCCGUUUCUCUGGCUGUUUAAGAAUGAAAUGGCCAGCGGGCUUCUUUAUGUAUAAGCGUGAAGAACACUCAUCAGUGUCAUUAGUUUCACGUUAAGUUUUAAGGCACUGGAGGACAGGUACCGGGUUUCCAUGCCUGAUGUCCCUCACUCUCCCUUGGGUGACACCUGACCCUUACCCUGGGCUGCCCUGGGCCCUUCUUCCCUUGAAGGAUCAGAUGAAUGUACUACACGUUGUGAUAUUUUUACCUUCCCGUGUUAGUCCUCCCAGAGGAAUAGAAAAGAAGCUGAAGGAGGUCCUGCUGUGUCUCAGUGGCACCAAAGCCAACUAGUAUCCAUAAGGAUGCAGGUUCGAUCCCUGGCCUCGCUCAGUGAGUUAAGGAUCCAGCGUUGCCACGAGCUUUGGUGUCGGUCAAAGAUGCGGCUCAGAUCUGGUGUUGCUGUGGCUGUGGUGUAGGCCGGGAGCUAGAGCUCCUGUGCAACCCCGAGCCUGGGAACCUCCAUAUGCUGCAGAUGCGGCCGCGGCCCUAAACAAUCAAUUAAUCAAUCUGAAAAGUACAAUAGAUGAGAAUUCAUUGUGGCACUCAGGACGUUGUGGAUUAGGGAAUGAAAAGAAAGAAAGGGGCAUUUUCACUGGCAUUCUUAAUUCAUGAUCCAACUGGGGCUCUUUAAAGCAGUAGCCUGAUCCCAAGGCUGCCUGCAGCUCAGUCCCCUGCCCCUGCUCACAGGCCAGUUCUGGGGCUGCUCUCUCUGGAGAGCCGGGGUACAGAGCCAGGAGCCCCGACUGCAUCAUCCCGAACUUACUUAAGUUCUGCACAUUCUUUUAGAAUUUCAUUAUCUGGACUGCAUGGGCGAGACCAGGGUAAACUACUCCACAACAGUGGAGAGCCACGGGGGUGAACAAAAAAGAGGCAUGAAGAGCUUUGGAAAAUGUUUGGCAUGUAUUUGGUUAUGUGUUUAAUUUUUUUAAAAAUAACAACCAGAUGAAAUCCUUAAAGGCAUGACUUUUAAAGUUAUUCUUCAGACCAUGACAUGAAGGACUCAAGGUGUGAAGCCACAAUGUUUUUCAACUACAGCAACAAUAAAUUUCUUAAUAGGCAUUCAAGUUCAAGAAGCUUCUUACUCCAGCAGAAUGAAGUAAAACCUGCUGGAAAGCCCUAGCCCUUUAACCUUCUUCAGCUAAGUCUUCCAUUUCACUCAAGGGAUGUGAUACUUAUAUUAAGAGAGGAAUGAUUUGAAUGUUCAGACAUUACUGUGUGACCCUCCAAUGAGUUCUUCCGAUGGGCUAAUAACUCAGUAGGUGCUAGACUUCUGUGUACGUGAAAGUUGCUGUCAAGAGCUGUCUACUCAAAACCAUGUUCGCAGUGGCUUAUGGGAAAGUUAAGGGAUCUUCAAAGUGAAUUUGAAUUAUCUAUGACCUUUGCUUAGCACUUGAACUUAACCUCCCACACAAAAACUGACUCUUUUUUUCCUCCCUCCCUCCAUUUCUACCUCCCUGCCUUACUUUUUUUUUUUUUUUUUUUCUUCCUUUCUUUCUUCUUUCCCUCCCUUCUUGGUAAAUUAAAUUCCAUAGGGGUAUGUGUGUGUGUGUGAAAUUAAAAUAGUGAUGUCUAUUUAUAUUCAAAUCAGAAAGCUACUAGCAUGCUGACUAUUCAGAUCUCUUAGAGGAAAAAAAAAAUUCUGUAAAAGUGUAUGUGAAUUCCCCAUCCUGUGUUUCUACUCAGCUUUCUGUCUUCGAUUUCUCAUUUUUAGCUGGAAAAGUGUACCAGCCAAAAGGCAGCCAGGUUCUCCAUGCGGCAAAGCAUAUCAAACCAUCUGUAGAUAAAAAAAGUAACGUUUUGGCUUAAAAGCCACCUUCUGAUACAAGACAGAGAGAAGAUGAUGGUGACGGAGACAGUAGAGUCGAUGGCAUAUUGUUACUAAGAAUUUGAAAAGAUUUUUCCCACAAAUAAAUCAAGAUAUUCCAUAAUGGUUAAGACCUACGUGAUACAAACAUGUGCAUUUUCUCAAAAAUCGAAAGAAAUUAGACAAGAUACCCAAGAAGUUGGAUUAUGAAGUAGGAGUGCCAGUGAAACUCCUGAAAGUAAUUUAAACAUUGGCAUAGACAUGUUUCAUGCUUCCUUUAUAGCUCUCUCAUGGAAGAGUAACUUAACCUGCAUUUUUGCCAUGUGACAUCAACCCCAUACACUUACUUCUAUCAUUUCUGACCAAUAAAAGUGAAAGUAACUGAAGCCAGUAAAGAAGCCUUUUUUUUUUUUUUUUUUUUUUUUUUUUUGCCAUUGUUAAAGUUAAGCUGGCACAUGUGAGAGCUUUUGUAUUGCCAGAAUUUAGGAAACAAACAAACAACACUUUGGCUUGAGUGAAAGGUCUUUGAGGCAAAUGGCCAUGGAGGAAAAGUUGCAAAAAAAAAAAAAAAAAUCUAAGUUCAUCACCAAACACUUUUAGACAACCAUGUAAAAAAUUUCACAGAGAAUUUAAGGUGCAAGGUAGAUACAAAAAAUAGGGUGUGAUGAAAACAAUUGAUGAAAACAAUGAAUUAAGAGCAGUAAUUGAAGGGAGUUCCUGUCGUGGCUCAGUGUUUGCUGAACCCGACUAAGAUCCAUGAGGACGCAGGUUCGCUCUCUGGCCUGGUUCAGUGAGUUAAGGAUUCAGUGGUGCUGUGGUGUAGGUCGCAGAAGCAGCUCAGAUCCCGUGUGGCUGUGGUUGUGGUGUAGGCCGGUGGCAAUAGCUCCGGUUGGACCCCUAGCCUGGGAACCUCCAUAUGCCACAGAUGCGGCCCUAAAAAGCCAAAAAAAAAAAAAA